GCAUCGGACCAUAUGUUUGUGUUGAAUGGAAUUAUGGUGGAUUUCCUCUUUGGUUACAUUUUAUACCCGGGAUCAAGUUCCGAACUGAUAACGAACCAUUUAAGGCAAAAAUGCAGAGGUUCACGGCCAAAAUUGUGGACAUGAUGAAGCAAGAGAAAUUGUAUGCAUCACAAGGAGGACC